rnacentral:pre_miRNA from 1 species
AAGGCUCAGCAUUAAGGUGGGUGGGAUAAUGUAACAAUAUUCUCCAUGUUGUUAUAGUAUUCCACCUACCCUGAUGUCUCGU